UUUGACUUCAGAUUGUAUAAUUGGAUUUGGGGAUUAGGGUUUUUGGGUUUAAUUGGAUUUGGGGAUUAGACUCUCUUGUCGAAUCUUGCUUAUUAUUUGGAACACGGUUGUGUGUAAUUGUUUUGUCUGAAAAUCUUCUUUUACAUUUAAAAAAAAUGUUUUUUGUUUUGGAUAAUGUUUGUCCUUUAGGUGUCAUUGGAUUUUAGAUAGGUCUCGUGUGUCAUUGAUUUUGCUUGUUUGUCUGGAGACUUGAGGACAUGAUCUUUGAUAUAAUUUAAAGUGUUUCAAAUCUGUUUUGGAAUUUGUUACAGGUUGGAAGUUUUUGAUCAUACGAAGUUUGAUAAGUAGGUGAGGAAAGUAGCUGUCUCUGCAAUAGUACCAAGCUUGAAGCUUUAUGAAAAGCUCACUCUUGGAUGGAGCAUUCAUCUGAGCCAGGACAAGGACAAUAUGAUCAAGAUGGGGUUGGAUGUGAAGGGUUGGAGAGUGGUGGAUGUUCUUUCUCCAUAGAGUAUGUUUCUUUUGUUGGGGAACAACCUGAAUCAACACUCCCAUCUAUGUCAAGCUUUACCUUCUUUAGUCCGAGCCCAGCGACGACACAGAACAACAACACUCAUGAAACAAAUGAGAAACUUCGAGGGAGUAAGCAAAAGUCCAGUAAAAAUAACACUGCAGCUUGAGGAAAUCCAGUGCUGCUCACUUAUCCUGAACCCAUUGAUGCUGCAGUCAUCCCGGGACAAGAAUUCAUGCUUCAGUUGGUGAACAGCUGAUCAAAAAGUAUGAAGACAGACUAACUGAAGGAGAUGCGGUGGUCGUCCAUUUAUUCAAAGUGUACGAUGCUAUUGGUGAUUAUCAGAUAACCACACAUCCGUACAAAAUUGGUUUUUUCAGACAACUUUUGUUGGAAAAGCUAAUGAUAUUAUAACUUUUUAUCAUAUUUUAUCAACUUUUGUCGGAAUAUUCCAUAGUCAACGAUCAAUAACAGAGAUAAAAGAUCGAUUAUAGUUGACUACAAAGCAGUUUUCAGACUAUUUCGAUAAUGGUUUCUAUUGGAUUUUUUUAAUCAAGAAUUGUACUUUUAAUUUAUAUUAUUUAUGGAUUAUAUUAUAACUUUUUAUCAUAUUUUAGUUGACUGGUGCAAACUUCGUCAGUGUUUAUGGUUCAAACUUCCUCAGUGUUUAUGG